UACGGAGGAUGCAAGCGUUAUCCGGAAUGAUUGGGCGUAAAGCGUCCGCAGGUGGCAAUGUAAGUCUGCUGUCAAAGCGUCUGGCCCAACCAGAUAAAGGCAGUGGAAACUGAACAGCUAGAGUAUGGUAGGGGCAGAGGGAAUUCCUGGUGUAGCGGUGAAAUGCGUAGAGAUCAGGAGGAACACCGGUGGCGAAGGCGGGUCUCUGGGCCGAAAUUGACGCUGAGGAGCGAAAGCGUGGGGAGCAAACAGG
rnacentral:rRNA from 1 species